GUGCUUGCUUUGGCAGCACAUAUACUAAAAAUUGGAACAAUACAGAAAAGAGUAGCAUGGCCCCUAUGCAAUGAUGACACAAAUUCAUGAAGUGUUUCCUAUUUUA